CAGCAGGCGCGCAAAUUACCCAAUCUCAAUUCGAGGAGGUAGUGACAAGAAAUACCAAUACAGGACCAAUGGUGCUGUGUUUGGAAUGAGUGUAAUUUAAAAACAUUAUCAAGGAACCAUUGGAGGGCAAGUCUGGUGCCAGCAGCCGCGGUAAUUCCAGCUCCAAUAGUGUAUACUAAUGUUGCUGCAGUUAAAAAGCUCGUAGUUGGAUUUCGGUUAAUAGAGUGCUAGUCUACUUUUUUAUAAGUACGCACUGCCAUUCUAUUUCCUUCUUUUCAGUAACAAAAUUUAUUUUGUUCUGAAUUAUUUACUUUGAAAAAAUUAGAGUGUUCAAAUCAGGCGUAUUUUGCCUUUGAAUAUAUUAGCAUGGGAUAAUGAAAUAAGACUUUUUGCCUUAUUCUCGUUGGUUUUUGAGGCUAAAGUAAUGAUUAAUAGGGAUAGUUGGGGUCAUUAGUAUUUAAUUGUCAGAGGUGAAAUUCUAAGAUUAAUUAAAGACUAACUACUGCGAAAGCAUUUGACAAGGAUGUUUUCAUUAAUCAAGAACGAAGGUUGGGGGAUCGAAGAUGAUCAGAUACCGUCGUAGUCUCAACCAUAAACUAUGCCGACCAAGGAUUCGGGGGUGUUAUAUGAAUGACCCUCCGGGCACUUAUAGAGAAAUCAUAAGUAUUUGGGUUCCGGGGGGAGUAUGGUCGCAAGGCUGAAACUUAAAGGAAUUGACGGAAGGGCACAACCAGGAGUGGAACUUGCGGUUUAAUUUGACCCAACACGGGAAAACUUACCAGGUCCAGACACAGUAAGGAUUGACAGAUUGAGAGCUCUUUCUUGAUUCUGUGGUUGGUGGUGCAUGGCCGUUUCUAGUUGGUGGAGUGAUUUGUCUGGUUAAUUCCGUUAACGAACGAGACCUUAACCUAGUAAAUAGUUACACGAACCUGAAUUUAUUCAUUUGUUCGUGGAUAACUUCUUAGAGGGACUCUUCACGUAAAGAGUGAAUGGAAGUUUGAGGCAAAAACAGGUCUGUGAUGCCCUUAGAUGUUCUGGGCUACACGCGUGUUACACUGAUAUCUUCAACAAGCAUAAAAUUUUCCUUACCCGAUGGGGUUGGGCAAUCUUUUAAAAUGAUAUCGUGAUGGGGAUAGAUCAUUGUAAUUAUUGGUCUUGAACGAGGAAUUCCUAGUAAGGGUAAGUCAUCAACUUGCCCUGAUUACGUCCCUGCCCUUUGUACAUACCGCCCGUCGCUCCUACCGAUGAAUGGUCCGGUGAGGAUUUAGGAGGAACGUAGAUACUGGUGUUAAAGCCAUUCUAUUGGUCCAAAUUCAUUCAAACCUUAUCAUUUAAAGGAAGGAGAAGUCGUAACAAGGU
rnacentral:rRNA from 1 species